GGCAUUGCUUACAGGGGUCACAGACAUUCAGAUCAUGGCAGAACUGUCACAGAUGUUACUUUGUGAAAACACAAAGAAUAAUGUGUUUGGAGAGAUCAGUCUUCAAUUAGCUAUAUUUUCUAGGAGCCUACCUUUACUUAGCCUCACAACAUGGGCCUUAGCUUUAGCACUUAAUCUGCACAAAUACCUGGCUUAAGUGUUAUGACUGACUGGCUAUUCAACCAAACCAUACAAAUGACCAAUUCGGUAAGAAAGCAUGAACUUCAGUGUUGAACCAAAUCAACCAACCUCCUCAAUCCAAAUGAACAAUGCUAUUCUAGGAGUCUGUGCUAGAAUAAAAUCCUAAUGCAAAGGCUGUCUUAAAAUGCUGAACCCAGAAGAAUUUGGCAUAAAUAAGACAUGGAGUUAGCUGACAUGAGAUAUUACAUUUAUUCCACUGUUGACGAGGACAAAACUGGGCCGCUAUUGUCACAGGCUUGCAGAGCUCAAACCAUUACACCAUUCAGAAGCUGGCUUUGGUAUUACUUCAAGUUAUUCAAAACAGUCACCACUUGCUGAGCCUCUGAUGUCUCAUCUGUUGAAUGGAUUUCAAGAGAGAAGGCUGAAAAGGAAGGUGACUGGAAUAUUAAGAACUGUGAGAUAUUCUGAGGAAACUCUAAUUUGUAAAUUGGUAGAAAUGCCAGUAAUUUGUUGGGAAUUGAAGACCCUCUGUAUUCAAGAGCGAAGCUUGGCAGCUGUGCACUGUUGUUUUAUAAAUCAAUAUUACAUCUGAAGGUGGUGUUUG
rnacentral:lncRNA from 1 species